rnacentral:rRNA from 1 species
UACGGGGGGGGCAAGCGUUGUUCGGAAUUACUGGGCGUAAAGGGUUCGUAGGUGGCCGACUAAGUCAGACGUGAAAUCCCUCGGCUCAACCGAGGAACUGCAUCCGAUACUGGCGGGCUUGAAUCCGGGAGAGGGAUGUGGAAUUCCAGGUGUAGCGGUGAAAUGCGUAGAUAUCUGGAGGAACACCGGUGGCGAAGGCGGCAUCCUGGACCGGUAUUGACGCUGAGGCGCGAAAGCUAGGGGAGCAAACGGG